rnacentral:rRNA from 1 species
CCUACGGGAGGCAGCAGUGAGGAAUAUUGGUCAAUGGCCGGAAGGCUGAACCAGCCAUGCCGCGUGAAGGUCAGUGCCCUAUGGGCGUUAAACUUCUUUUGUGCGGGAGCAAUAAUGGUCACGUGUGGCCAGACGAGAGUACCGUACGAAUAAGCAUCGGCUAACUCCGUGCCAGCAGCCGCGGUAAUACGGGGGAGGCAAGCGUUAUCCGGAGUUAUUUGUGUUAAAGGGGGCGUAGGCUGUGAUGUAAGUCAGCGGUGAAAUGCACCGGCUCACCGGGGUGAAGUGCCAUUGAUACUGCCUGGCUGGAGUGCGGAUGCCGUAGGAGGAAUGUGUGGUGUAGCGGUGAAAUGCAUAGAUAUCACACAGAACACCGAUUGCGAAGGCAUCUCACGAAUCCGCGAUUGACGCUGAUGCACGAAAGCGUGGGUAUCAAACAGGAUUAGAUACCCCAGUAGUC